rnacentral:rRNA from 1 species
UGGGGAAUUUUGGACAAUGGGGGCAACCCUGAUCCAGCAAUGCCGCGUGUGUGAAGAAGGCCUUCGGGUUGUAAAGCACUUUUGUCCGGAAAGAAAACGCCGUGGUUAAUACCCGUGGCGGAUGACGGUACCGGAAGAAUAAGCACCGGCUAACUACGUGCCAGCAGCCGCGGUAAUACGUAGGGUGCAAGCGUUAAUCGGAAUUACUGGGCGUAAAGCGUGCGCAGGCGGUCCGCUAAGACAGAUGUGAAAUCCCCGGGCUUAACCUGGGAACUGCAUUUGUGACUGGCGGGCUAGAGUAUGGCAGAGGGGGGUAGAAUUCCACGUGUAGCAGUGAAAUGCGUAGAGAUGUGGAGGAAUACCGAUGGCGAAGGCAGUCCCCUGGGCCAAUACUGACGCUCAUGCACGAAAGCGUGGGGAGCAAACAGGAUUAGAUACCCUGGUAGUCCACGCCCUAAACGAUGUCAACUAGUUGUUCGGGUCUUCAUUGACUUGGUAACGUAGCUAACGCGUGAAGUUGACCGCCUGGGGAGUACGGUCGCAAAGAUUAAAACUCAAAGGAAUUGACGGGGUCAUAGCUG